rnacentral:rRNA from 1 species
UCAAGCGAAUAAGGGCAUACGGUGGAUGCCUUGGCACUAAGAGCCGAAGAAGGACGCGGUAAGCUGCGAAAAGCUACGACGAGCUGCAAGCAAGCUGAGACUCGUAGAUAUCCGAAUGGGAAAACCUGUAUGGAGUAAUAUCCAUACAUCUUAUACUGAAUCCAUAGGUAUAAGAAGGCAACCCGGGGAACUGAAACAUCUAAGUACCCGGAGGAAGAGAAAACAAACUCGAUUCCCCUAGUAGCGGCGAGCGAAGAGGGAAGAGCCCAAACCGAAUCUUCGGAUUCGGGGUUGUAGGACUCUCAGAAGCAAUGGAUGCUUAGUCGAAUGGUCUGGGAAGGCCAAUCAUAGAAGGUAAGAAUCCUGUAGGCGAAAAGCAGAAAGAGUGGAGAGUAUCCUGAGUACCACGAGGCACGUGAAAUCUUGUGGGAAACUGUGGGGACCACCCCAUAAGGCUAAAUACUCCUUAGUGACCGAUAGAGAACAAGUACCGUGAGGGAAAGGUGAAAAGAACCCCAGGAGGGGAGUGAAAAAGAACCUGAAACCGUGUGCUUACAAGCUGUCACAGCACAAUAGUAGUGUAGUGGCGUACUUUUUGUAGAACGGACCUGCGAGUUACGUUAUCAAGCGAGGUUAAGGUGAGAAGCCGGAGCCGAAGCGAAAGCGAGUCUGAAGAGGGCGAAAGUUUGAUGACGUAGACCCGAAACCGGGUGAUCUACCCAUGAGCAGGAUGAAGCGUUAGUAAAAUAACGUGGAGGUCCGAACCAGGCAUCGUUGAAAAGAUGUUGGAUGACUUGUGGGUAGGGGUGAAAUUCCAAUCGAACCUGGAGAUAGCUGGUUCUCCUCGAAAUAGCUUUAGGGCUAGCCCCAACGUAAGUUUCACGGAGGUAGAGCACUGAAUGGACUAGGGGGCUUCACCGCCUACCGAAUCUUAUCAAACUUCGAAUGCCGUGAAAUAUAAGUUAGGAGUCAGACUGUGGGGGAUAAGCUUCAUAGUCAAAAGGGAAACAGCCCAGACCGCCAGCUAAGGUCCCAAAAUAAUGAUUAAGUGGAAAACGAUGUGAAAUCGCUUAGACAACCAGGAUGUUGGCUCAGAAGCAGCCACCAUUUAAAGAGUGCGUAAUAGCUCACUGGUCCAGGGGUUUUGCGCGGAAAAUGUAACGGGGCUCAAAUCAUUUACCGAAGCUGCGGAGCAUCAUAGGAUGUUGGUAGAGGAGCGUUCUUAACACGGAGAAGGCAUACCGGAAGGAGUGCUGGAGAGUUAAGAAGUGAGAAUGCAGGUAUAAGUAUGCGAAAAGGCAGGUGAGAAUCCUGCCCGCCGAAAAUCUAAGGAUUCCUGGGGAAGGCUCGUCCGCCCAGGGUAAGUCGGGACCUAAGGCGAGGCCGAAAGGCGUAGUCGAUGGAAAACUGGUAGAUAUUCCAGUACCACCUGAUAUUGAUUGAGAGAAGUAGUGACGCAGAAGGAUAGGCAGAGCGCCCAGUUGGUGAGGCGUUUAAGUAAGUAGGGUGAUUGGUAGGCAAAUCCGCCAAUCGUGAAGCCUGAGAUACGAAUACGAGGGAAAAAUAGUACCGAAGUCGCUGAUUCCCGGCUGCCAAGAAAAGCUGCUAUCGAGAUAAAGGGUGCCCGUACCGCAAACCGACACAGGUAGAUGGGGUGAGAAACCUAAGGCGCGACGAGAAAACUCUUGUUAAGGAACUCGGCAAAAUGAACCCGUAACUUCGGGAGAAGGGUUGCUUAUCGUGGUGAAAUCCAUACGGAUGGAGCUAUGAUAAGUCGCAGAGAAAAGGUCCAGGCGACUGUUUAGCAAAAACACAGGUCAUUGCAAAAUCGUAAGAUGAAGUAUAAUGGCUGACGCCUGCCCGGUGCUGGAAGGUUAAGGGGAAGAGUGAGAGCUUUGAACCGAAGCCCCAGUAAACGGCGGCCGUAACUAUAACGGUCCUAAGGUAGCGAAAUUCCUUGUCGGGUAAGUUCCGACCCGCACGAAAGGCGUAACGAUCUGGACGCUGUCUCAACAAGGGACUCGGCGAAAUUGAAAUACCGGUAAAGAUGCCGGUUACCUGCGAUAGGACAGAAAGACCCCAUGGAGCUUUACUGUAGCCUGAUAUUGGGUUUUGGAUAUUGAUGUACAGGAUAGGUGGGAGACUGAGAAUCAUGAACGCCAGUUUGUGAGGAGUCGAUGUUGGGAUACCACUCUUGCAAUAUUGAAAUUCUAACAAUGCUUCCGUGAAGCCGGAAUUUGGACAGUGUCAGGUGGGCAGUUUGACUGGGGCGGUCGCCUCCUAAAAGGUAACGGAGGCGCUCAAAGGUUCCCUCAGUGCGGAUGGAAAUCGCACGAAGAGUGUAAAGGCAGAAGGGAGCUUGAUUGCGAGACCAACAAGUCGAGCAAGUAGGAAACUAGGACUUAGUGAUCCGGCGGUUGCGAGUGGAAGUGCCGUCGCUCAACGGAUAAAAGCUACCCUGGGGAUAACAGGCUUAUCUCCCCCAAGAGUCCACAUCGACGGGGAGGUUUGGCACCUCGAUGUCGGCUCAUCGCAUCCUGGGGCUGUAGUAGGUCCCAAGGGUUGGGCUGUUCGCCCAUUAAAGCGGUACGCGAGCUGGGUUCAGAACGUCGUGAGACAGUUCGGUCCCUAUCCAUCGCAGGCGCAGGAAAUUUGAAGGGAGCUGACCCUAGUACGAGAGGACCGGGUUGGACAGACCGCUGGUGAACCAGUUGUCUCGCCAGAGGCACAGCUGGGUGGCUAUGUCUGGAAUUGAUAAGCGCUGAAAGCAUCUAAGCGCGAAACGAACCUUAAGAUGAGAUUUCCCAUUCCUAAAAGGAAGUAAGACACCAGAAGGAAGAUCUGGUAGAUAGGUCAGGUGUGUAAGUGAAGUGAUUCAUUGAGCUAACUGAUACUAAUAUGUCGAGGGCUUGACCAA